rnacentral:lncRNA from 1 species
UACAGUGUACUUACAUAUAAAAAUAUGUCUUUUAAAAAAUUAAUUUACUUAUUUGAGAUAAUAUGUUACUAUGAUCUGUCUUUCUUGGGAUUCUGUAAACCAUGAUGGCUUCUAAGGCACAAAGAUUCCUCUGCCUUCCAAAUGCCAGCAUUAAAGGCAUGAACCACCACAUUCAACACUAAAUCUGCACAAUAUGCUAUGCUUAGGUUUGGUGUGGAGUGCCUUUUCCCACCGAAUCAUAUUGCUUGUGCUUAGACUCCCUUGGGUGUUAAUAGUUAGAAAAAUGCAAGCAAAUUGGUCUAGUCAGAAAAUGUAAUAGAGGACAUGGUGCUUAAGAAAGGCUGGGUGUCUUGAGUUACAUCUCUACUGGGAGUUAACUUUGUGACUUUUGUCAGGUUAACUCAUUUGGCCGAUUUUUCUCAAAUUUAGGGCUAGAAUUGAAAAGGUAAAAUAUGAGAUUGAAAUCCUAUUUAGAAAUAUGUUUUAAUAUCACAUUUAGAAAUGUUUUGUGGCCGGGUGGUGCUGGCGCACACCUUUAAUCCCAGCACUUGGGAGGCAGAGGCAGGCGGAUUUCUGAGUUUGAGGCCAGCCUGGUCUACAAAGUGAGUGCCAGGACAGCCAGGGCUACACAGUGAAACCCUAUCUCGAAAAAACCAAAAAUAAAAGAAAUGUUUCAUACGAGUUUUGGGAUCAAACUUGGUCUGUUAUGCUUUGUAGCAAGUUCUUUUACAAAGAGGCAUCUGAACAUCAAACAGCAACUUUUAGAUAGUGGAUAGUGAAGAGCAAGAAGAACUGAUACCCAAAAAGAUAGCCACUAAGAAAGAUGAGAUUUUGACAGGAUUUCUCAUUUUGUGUCCGUGUGUGGGGGUUGGUGGUUGGUUGAGACAGGUUUCUUUGGGGACCAGGCAGACCAGGUAAACGAGAUUUACCUAACUGCCACUUAAGUGCUGGGAUUAAAGGUGUGUGCUACGCCCAUCCAGCAAGACUUCUGAGUCUAACUUUACUUUUUGUUACAUAUAUCCUACGUUUUUUUUUUUUAAUUACUGAAAUUGGUUUAUUGGGAAUUAGUUUUAAAUAUGAUUUUUAUUUAUUGAGACAAGGUCUUACUGUGAACAGUUAUCAGCACCAAUAUUGGGUUCAAAAUUCAACUCCGGGUUAUCUCAUCCCUUCUUCUGGCUUCUUUGGGUCUGCACUGAAGCACAUAUCUUAGCUGUGCACAUGUAUAUAUACAUAAUUUUUAUUUAUUUUUAAUUCUUUUUUUUUUAAGAUUUAUUUGUUACGUGAGUACAUUAUAGCUGUUCAGAUGGUUGUGAACCUUCAUGUGGUUGUUGGGAAUUGAAAUUUUUUUAGAACUGCUGCUCGCUCCGUUGAGCCCUGCUCUGUCACCCCCAGCUUUCUCUGGCCCAAAAAUUUAUACUUAUGUAUGCUGUAGCUGCCUUGACAAACCAGAAGAGGGCGUCAGAUCUCAUUGUAGAUGGUUAUGAGCCACCAUGUGGUUGCUGAGAUUUGAACUCAGGAUCUUCAGAACACUGAGCCAUCUCUACAGCCUUACUUUUUUGUUUGUUUUGCUUUGUUUUGUUUUUUUUCAAGAUAGGGUUUCUCUGUAUAUCCCUGGCUGUCCUGUAACUGAUUUUGUAGACCAGGCUGGCCUUAAACUCAGAAAUCUGCCUGCCUCUGGAGUGCUGGGAUUAAAGGCAUGUGCCACCCCGCCCAGCUAUGAUUUUUUUUAAAGAUUUAUUUAUUAUAUGUAAGUACACUGUAACUGUCAGACUCUCCAGAAGAGGGGAUCAGAUCUCACUAAGGAUAGUUUGUUUCUAGGACUUGAACCCAUGACCUCUGGAAGAGCAGUCAGUUCACUUAACCACUAAGCCAUCUCUCCAGCCCUUGAUUUUUAUUUUUUAAGG